UGCUCGGUGGCUCAGUUGGCAGAGCGCCCGGUUGUUACCCGGGAGGUCCCAGGUUCGAGCCCUGGUCGAGCAG
rnacentral:tRNA from 2 species